GACUCUAUCGUACAGCGGUUAGUACGCAUGGUUUUCAGCCAUGAAACCGGGGUUCGAUUCCCCGUAGAGUCACCA
rnacentral:tRNA from 1 species